rnacentral:rRNA from 1 species
GUGGGGAAUCUUGCGCAAUGGGCGAAAGCCUGACGCAGCCAUGCCGCGUGGAUGAUGAAGGUCUUAGGAUUGUAAAAUCCUUUCACCGGUGAAGAUAAUGACUGUAGCCGGAGAAGAAGCCCCGGCUAACUUCGUGCCAGCAGCCGCGGUAAUACGAAGGGGGCUAGCGUUGCUCGGAUUUACUGGGCGUAAAGGGCGCGUAGGCGGACAUUUAAGUCAGGGGUGAACUCCCGCGGCUCAACCUCGGAACUGCCUUUGAUACUGGGUGUCUUGAGUAUGAGAGAGGUGUGUGGAACUCCUAGUGUAGAGGUGAAAUUCGUAGAUAUUCGGACGAACACCCGUGGCGAAGGCGACACACUGGCUCAUUACUGACGCUGAGGCGCGAAAGCGUGGGGAGCAAACAGGAUUAGAUACCCGAGUAGUCC